UCAAAAUAAAUUUGUGGAACCUGUUAAAACAAUACACUAGCUUUGAUAAUGUAUAUAUAGCACUUGCUCUGAAAGAGUGAAGUUGAAGUUAAUAUCGGGUACACAGUUGAUUAUGUAGGGUGCAUGCAUUAGCGACGACAUGGACAGGUGCUUCACUGACAGGAAGAACUUGCUCAUGGACCGCAGGACCAUGGCUCCCAAGAUCGAUGACCUCAAGUCUCAGCCGUGCCUUUAGGGUUCCUCUCAACAAUUACACACAAGAUUCUUACUCGAGGUACCGACCCUGAGGUCCUUCUUGGUGCCACAUGUGGUUGGUGGGCUGCAUUUUUUAAGUUGGCACUACAUUAGUGAUUGGGGCAAUGGUCAGACCUGCUUGCAUGAAAAAAAGGGCAAUUUGGAUGUGCUUGCAGGAGCUCAGAACUCACCUAUUGAUGACUCACCUUGGAAACUGGUUUUUUAAAGGCUGACAAGGCGACAGAUGCGGGGCCUUCUUCAAUUUCAACUCACACAUGCCAUCGUCGUCCAGGUCAGUGGUGCCCCGUGCCCAUCGACGACAUCAUGCAGCUGUUCGCCAACGCCUGGAUGAAUCACUUCAAGACAUUAUUCCUUGACCAUAAUGUAGUGCCGCCCUGGACUAGCAGCUUGUCGCCUACACCUCAAUACAAUACCCAGAAGUGCAUCCGCGCCGGCAGCAAGCACAACGACCUCGACGCCAUGGGAAACAGUACUCCUUGAUGGGAACUAGACCUUCAGGUAUGAUGGGAGCUUCGAAGAGGAAGCCAGCGGAUAUUCAUGGGAGCUCCUCGUCAAAGUGAGGGAUUUAGUAUAGAAAGCUACUUUACAAGUAGUCUCAAGCUGGAGGAUAACAGAUUGGUCGCGACGUUAGGGAUCCCCAUCAAUGUUAUACUAUUUGUCUCCAGCAAUAUCAAGAUGAGGAUACAAGCAGAUCAAGUGUACAAGACGUGUAGUCUCCUCGUGAAGGUGGCUGAGCUAUGAAUUUGCUCUUGGUAUAUUUACCUACGCUGGAUAUGGGGUCAGAUCUUUGGUAUGCAGGUGAAUGUAUAUGGAACAAUGAUUGCACAUAUUACAGUAAGCUAUAUUCUUUCACAUUUAUGCAUAUUCUUGUUGGGACAAAAAAAGUGGUUAUAAUAAGCAGAUUCUUGUUGGGACCAAAAAAAGUGGUUAUAAUAAGUAGAUAUAUUUCUUCCCAUUUACGCAUAUUCUUACUGGGAGAGAAAAACAAAGCAGUGAUAAUAUGCAGUUUUACAUAAGCUUAUGUCUUGCAUAGAACCGAAAACUAAUGAUUAUUGCUUGUUUUCUGACUUCUGUUGCAGAAUGUGAAAGCUUAUUACCCACAUAAAACAAGUAGGUGUUACGAAGUCCUUGUAUGCCUAAUUAUUGUUGUUGUAGUUGUCAUACACGCGUAACAACCUGUGACAUACACACGCAUACCCAUGAUCUCUCUCCUACAAAUACCCUUGACUAAUUCCUCAGAAGUAUAUGUAAAAACAGAAACAAAUGCUUCAUGCCCGCUCACUUGGAAACAAAUGCUUCGAUGGCCAAUGUGCAACUAAUUGCAUGCACACUCACAAAAUAUUUCUAACAACCAAUCAGGACAUUUCA